UCCAAACCAGUGAGGUUUUCCUCCUCUCCCACUCAACUCAGCCGCCGCCUCCCCCAAUCCCAUCCCCAACAGCGGCGAUCUUGUCUCCCCCAGCCCCGGCAUCUGCCCUCUACCAAUCGCCGGCGCCCCUACACCCUCCUUCUCAACUCGAGCCGCUCAGGCCGCGGCAACCACGCACCGGCACAGAAGGAUCCCUCCUCCCACGGCCACCGUGCCCUCGUCCUCCACCCCCAAGCCUCUCCGCGUCCAACCUCACCACGCCGCCGCCUCCCUCCCUCCCUCCCUCCACCGCACCGAAGCCCCAGUCUUCCAUCCAUGGAUGGGGCGACAGAGAGGCGGAAGCACCUCUCCCGGCGACGAUGGCGCCGGAUCCGCACCCACCUACGGCGGCUGCUGCACGAGCAGCACGAUGGAUGCCGGCAGUGACCUCAAGCUGCCCGCAUGGGGUGGAUCCCGUCCACCCCCUUCUUUCGCCUGGGCGUGGCACAUGGGGGAGCUCGCGGCCAUCGACGACGGCGAGCUAGGAGGCUCCCGCAGCACCUUCGACCACAAUCCCGACGUGCUGCAGGACCUAGACAGCCAAGGAUUAUCUCGUGAACAAAUGCUCCUUUUAUUUCUGAAGGAGAGAAAGUGUGGACAUCCUGCGUAGACGUACUCUUAAGCGAAGCUAUGCAUGUGAAUGUGCCUCUGUGGCCAGCCACCGGGACGACGUCGACAGCCAAAGGAAGGGUUCUUGAGGUGCUCCUUCUCCACCGGCAGAGAGGUACCCCCUUCUUGGGUGGUACUCGUGUGCCUGCUCUGACCCUACCAUGGAAGGAUUCGUUUGGUACAACACCAUGACCGAUGCAGACAACAAGGCCUUCAACGAGCCAGGUACCUUGGUGCUACUGCUUCCGUGCGAUGGCAGCAGGGGUUGUUGUUCAGCAUCGGCUGCAAAAACAGCCAUGGCCUCACUUGGUCUGGUUCAGGGGAGGGUGAUGCCCAUGGUGUGGCCGCAUUGCAAGAUGGGCCGCAUCAACAAGAGGGUGCCCUAAGGAAGAGUCAUAUGGUCAUUUUGGUGACUGAGGAUGCUGGACAAGAUCUCAUCACCCAAAGCAUGAAUUUGUGGACCUUGGCAUAUAUUCCUUGG